UGCGGGGUCGUCUAAUGGUAGGACGAUAGACUCUGAAUCUAUUAAUCCUGGUUCGAGUCCAGGCCCCGCAG
rnacentral:tRNA from 5 species